rnacentral:misc_RNA from 1 species
AAGUCGUAACAAGGUUUCCGUAGGUGAACCUGCGGAAGGAUCAUUACCGUUUCUGGCUAUUUAAUAGCUUGUCGGGGGGCUAGUAGUCUCUAUAGCCUCCGUGACUGAAUCCGUGUUUUUACGUACUACAUGUUUCCUCGGCGGGCUUGCUCGCCGGUUGGACAACCCUAGAAGCUCUUUGCAAUUGCAAUCAGCGUUCUGAAUUGAUUUAAUCAAUUACAA